rnacentral:rRNA from 1 species
GACGAACGCUGGCGGCGUGCUUAACACAUGCAAGUCGAACGAAGAGCGAUGGAAGCUUGCUUCUAUCAAUCUUAGUGGCGAACGGGUGAGUAACGCGUAAUCAACCUGCCCUUCAGAGGGGGACAACAGUUGGAAACGACUGCUAAUACCGCAUACGAUCCAAUCUCGGCAUCGAGACUGGAUGAAAGGUGGCCUCUAUUUAUAAGCUAUCACUGAAGGAGGGGAUUGCGUCUGAUUAGCUAGUUGGAGGGGUAACGGCCCACCAAGGCGAUGAUCAGUAGCCGGUCUGAGAGGAUGAACGGCCACAUUGGGACUGAGACACGGCCCAGACCCCUACGGGAGGCAGCAGUGGGGAAUCUUCCGCAAUGGACGAAAGUCUGACGGAGCAACGCCGCGUGAGUGAUGACGGCCUUCGGGUUGUAAAGCUCUG